CCUACGGGAGGCAGCAGUGAGGAAUAUUGGUCAAUGGACGAGAGUCUGAACCAGCCAAGUAGCGUGAAGGAUGACUGCCCUAUGGGUUGUAAACUUCUUUUAUAUGGGAAUAAACUGUUCCACGUGUGGGAUUUUGUAUGUACCAUAUGAAUAAGGAUCGGCUACCACCGUGCCAGCAGCCGCGGUAAUACGGAGGAUCCGAGCGUUAUCCGGAUUUAUUGGGUUUAAAGGGAGCGUAGGUGGAUUGUUAAGUCAGUGGUGAAAUUUCGCAGCUCAACCUGAAAACUGCAGUUGAAACUGGCAGUCUUGAGAACAGUAGAGGUAGGCGGAAUGCGUGGUGUAGCGGUGAAAUGCUUAGAGAUCACAAAGAACUCCGAUUGCGAAGGCAGCUCACUGGACUGCAACUGACGCUGAGGCUCGAAAGUGUGGGUAUCAAACAGGAUUAGAUACCCGGGUAGUC
rnacentral:rRNA from 1 species